rnacentral:rRNA from 1 species
GAUGAACGCUAGCUACAGGCUUAACACAUGCAAGUCGAGGGGUAACGAGAGGAAAGCUUGCUUUCCUUGUCGACGACCGGCGCACGGGUGAGUAACGCGUAUCCAACCUGCCCCCAACUAGGGAAUAACCUUGCGAAAGUAAGACUAAUACCCUAUAAUUUCCUCAGAUGACAUCUGACGAGGAAUAAAGAUUUAUCGGUUGUGGAUGGGGAUGCGUCUGAUUAGCUUGUUGGCGGGGUAACGGCCCACAAAGGCAACGAUCAGUAGGGGUUCUGAGAGGAAGGUCCCCCACAUUGGAACUGAGACACGGUCCAAACUCCUACGGGAGGCAGCAGUGAGGAAUAUUGGUCAAUGGGCGGAAGCCUGAACCAGCCAAGUAGCGUGCAGGAUGACGGCCCUAUGGGUUGUAAACUGCUUUUAUACAGGAAUAAAGUUAGCCACGUGUGGUUAUUUGUAGGUACUGUAUGAAUAAGGGCCGGCUAAUUCCGUGCCAGCCGCCGCCGUAA